ensembl:lncRNA
AGGGGGUAUGGUCUUAUCUCUAGAAGCUCUUAAUCAAUGCCAGAGGCAAGAACUUAAGUUGGUUACUGUCUGGCAACUUCAUGUAACUGACCCCCCCCCCCCCCCCCCCCACAAAUCCUCCUUUGUCUUUAGCCGAGGAUAAAAUUCAAGCCGUGACUUCUGCCAUUUACUCAAUCCGGUUUGAUUCUUAUCUAAAAGUUGUGGGACCGCCAAAUGGCCAGACCAUACGGGCACUGAUACCAUUUUAACUUUUUUACAUAUUCUUUGUCUUGUAAAGAGAUAACUCACAUACCUAUGCCUUAAAUUUAGCCCUAACCCUCAACUCGGGGCAGCAGCAGGAGCUCUGACUGCCCGUGGGUCCUGUCCCCACGCACCAGCUCUGCCUGCCCAUGGGUCCUGUCCCCAUGCCAGCGGGGGCAGCAGAAGCAGCGGCAGCAGAAGCUCUGACUGCCCAUGGGUCCUGUCCCCAUGCUAUUCUAUACUAUUCUCUAAAUAAAAGAGCACUACUGCCAGAUCUUGAGAGUCUAAGAAAUCUUUCUUUCGACUCCUCGGCUCACCGACCCCGCAUCAUUUCUGGUGGCCCGUACGGGGAUCUCGCUUCAUCGGCUUGUGAGCUCGAGUUCUGCCAGACGAACCCCCAUUUGGGGAGAGGAAAUGUCCUCCUCCCCUACAGUUUUGGCGUAGUUGGCAGGAUGAAAUUUCCCUGGCUGGACACUGCUUGCUCCUGGACUGCUGCGGCUGAGAGAUCCCGGACCCCUGACGAGAGCCAGCAAGAGGACACAUUGGUUAUCUUACCAAGGCUUUGAAUGGAAUGUCAUAUUUGAGCGAAACAUACAGGCUCAGAUAUGACAACACAGCUUUUCAGGAACAAAGAUUGGACAUUCUGGAAUACAGCCACUUGGAAACAUGGGCCUGGUACCUUGUUUACAGAGAUUCUGGCAAUCUUGCCUGGUAAGUAAGGAAGCUUGCUUAUCUGGCAGGUGCAAGGAACCUCAGAAUAUUUUGGAGGACCUUGAGAAGAGAGGAGUCCACCCAAACCUGUAGGUACUGCAGGCAAAAUCUGAUGGCAAGUCCUUGGCUUGGCUUUUCUGGCCUCGAGAGGCCUUUACAGUUCAAUCUGAGAUUCCUCAUAAAAAAUUUCAGCAAAGCAGAUUUAAAAAGCCUGUAUAAUCAAUUGCCAUUCUUGCUGCACUUAUGUAAAUAAUUGGACCAAGUUGUAUUGAAACUACACUUAUUUUGCAAACCAGUUAAUCUUAAUUUGGCUAUCUUUUAUAAAAAUGAGGGUGAUUUUAGAGAGAAAAAUUAUGCUUCAGUAGAAGCUAUAGUACGCAUUUAUGGAUAUUAGAUUCUAGCUCUUUUCUUCCAUAAGAUUCAUUUAUUACUAAUCGCAAUGUCUCCUUGUGGCCAUCCAUCUCUGACACCUGGGAGAACCCUGGCCACAAUCAAACCUUUUCUUUCAAUACUACUGCCCAAAUACUAACUAGAUUUGCCUUGUCACAGGUGGAUGAUAAACAAAAAGUUCCAAAGGUAAAGUCCCCAAUGAUGAGGAUUUUUAGGCUGCUUAAUUUUAAAAUGGCUUAUGAUGAGGAUUUUUAGGCUGGUUAGUUUUAAAACUACAGAUGAGAUUCAGGCUCCAAGGAGUGGAAUUUGUUUGCCCCUUUGUUGGGAAACAUUUACAUUUCUAAGGGAAACCUCUAUCUGUGAAGAUGCCUCCCUCUCUGUGCCAGGAAGAAGUGGGGAUGGUCUUAUCUCUAGAAGCUCUUAAUCAAUGCCAGAGGCAAGAACUUAAGUUGGUUGCUGUCUGGCAAUCUCAUGUAACUGGUUUAGGGUGGUGGCGUCUAACCUUUCUAACCUUUACUUAAUCCGAUUUGAUUCUUGUCUAAAAGUCAUGGGAUCACCCAAUGACCAGACCCCACCUGCACUGAUACCAUUUUAACUUUUUUUCAUCUUCUUUCCUUUGUCUUGUAAAGAGAUGAAUCAUAUACCUAUGCCUUAAAUUUAGCCCUAACCCUCAACUCGGGGCAGCAGCAGGAGCUCUGACUGCCCGUGGGUCCUGUCCCCACGCACCAGCUCUGCCUGCCCAUGGGUCCUGUCCCCAUGCCAGCGGGGGCAGCAGCAGCGGCUCUGCCUGCCCAUGGGCUCUGUCCCCAUGCCAGCGGGGGCAGCAGAAGCGGCGGCAGCAGAAACUCUGACUGCCCAUGGGUCCUGUCCCCAUGCUAUUCUACUCUCUAAAUAAAAGAGCACUACUGCCAGAUCUUGAGAGUCUAAGAAAUCUUUCUUUCGACUCCUCGGGUCACCGACCCCGCAUCACCCAACUUAUCAAUACACACAGGAUGGACUAUAUCAAAUUUGGGACGAAUAUAUUUGGCUCACUCCUACUAGUGGCCAACUCAGUCAAAAGGCCACUCUAUGUUGGGAACAAAGCAAUCACACCUGUGAUACAUGGCCUAAUAGCACCCGACCUAUGGGACAAAUUCCCCGUCAUAUGUGUUCUCAUAUCAUAAGCUUAAAAAAUACUGAUUGGUUUGGGACUGACUGGGAUAGACGGCCAAGCACACGUUGGUUAGCCCCUAAUGGCACUCAGUGGUUAUGUGGCUCCAACUUAUGGCCUUGGCUACCACCUGGAUGGAUUGGACGAUGCACCCUAGGUUUUGUCUGGAUGCAAGGUAGAACUACAUUUACUAUAUCUCCUCCUGCUAACCUACCCAACCUGCAACAGCGCUGGACCCGCUCUGUCUUCCACUGGUAUGACCAUGUUGUCUCAAUUUUCCUUCACCAAUUAGGAAUCGAAAGUGUCAUCUGGCACAUGGAAGCUCUAAACAAAUUUACUAUGAAAGCAUUAAAUGAUACACAACAUAGCCUUUCGCUGCUCCAUUAAGAAGUGUCCCAAAUGCGUAAGGCAGUCCUCCAAAACCGAAUGGCACUGGAUGUCUUGACAGCAGCGCAAGGGGGUACUUGUGCCAUUAUAAAAACUGAAUGUUGUGUUUAUAUUCCUGACUACCAUCGGAAUAUCUCUGGCUUCCUAUCUGAUAUGAGCCACCAAGUUAAGUCCAUGUCUGACCCUACCCUAUCUCUAAAUGAUUGGUUGAACUCUUGGUCAGGUCCAGGUUUCUGGACUACUAUCAAAACCUUAUUCAUUGGGUUAAUCAUCUUGCUUGUAUUUCUUAUUACAAUUUGUUGUCUAUUUCGUUGUUUGUCUUCCACAUGUCAACAAAGUUUCACCUCCUGGACCACCUCUCAUCAAAUGAUUCUCUCGUCGCCAGAGGAUCUGUACACCUUGUCAGCCUUGGACGCCACUGGCGCAGCCUUCCAGUCCGCUAAGCCUCCUACCUGUACCCAUGGCCCCAUUUAGGGACAGCUCUACGACUUUGUACAGCCGGAAGUAGUUACAGAAGACUGACUAUCGUCCAUAUCCGCAAAAGAUUUUGGGGCCAAAAUGGGUUCGGGGGGGUUUAUGAUGAGGAUUUUUAGGCUGCUAAAUUUUAAAAUGGCUUAUGAUGAGGAUUUUUAGGCUGGUUAGUUUUAAAACUACAUAUGAGAUUCAGGCUCCAAGGAGUGGAAUUUGUUUGCCCCUUUGUUGGGAAACAUUUACAUUUCUAAGGGAAACCUCUAUCUGUGAAAAUGCCUCCCUCUCUGUGCCAGGAAGAAGGGGGUAUGGUCUUAUCUCUAGAAGCUCUUAAUCAAUGCCAGAGGCAAGAACUUAAGUUGGUUACUGUCUGGCAACUUCAUGUAACUGACACCCCCCCCCCCACACACACAAAUCCUCCUUUGUCUUUAGCCGAGGAUGAAAUUCAAGCCGUGACUUCUGCCAUUUACUCAAUCCGGUUUGAUUCUUAUCUAAAAGUUGUGGGACCGCCAAAUGGCCAGACCAUACGGGCACUGAUACCAUUUUAACUUUUUUACAUAUUCUUUGUCUUGUAAAGAGAUAACUCACAUACCUAUGCCUUAAAUUUAGCCCUAACCCUCAACUCGGGGCAGCAGCAGGAGCUCUGACUGCCCGUGGGUCCUGUCCCCACGCACCAGCUCUGCCUGCCCAUGGGUCCUGUCCCCAUGCCAGCGGGGGCAGCAGAAGCAGCGGCAGCAGAAGCUCUGACUGCCCAUGGGUCCUGUCCCCAUGCUAUUCUAUACUAUUCUCUAAAUAAAAGAGCACUACUGCCAGAUCUUGAGAGUCUAAGAAAUCUUUCUUUCGACUCCUCGGCUCACCGACCCCGCAUCAACUUCACUUCUCUGUGCCUCAGUUUCCUCAUCUGUAAAAUAAGGAUAAUAAUAGUUGUGUUUGCCAGAGUUCAGUGCAGGAAAUAGGAACCACUGGAGGUAUUUUGAGCACAAAGCAAUUUGAUACAGAGGAUUGGGUGCUUAUGGGAUGGAGUGGCUGGAUGCGGGGAGAGGAGAAGGUAAGGCUGGGUCUCUAAAGGAUGUGCUCCUUUGGCCUGGGCAGAAAAGGAAGAUGGGCAGCUGAAGGUUGCCACUGGUACUAUGAGUCCUGGGGUACGCUGACAGGGCUGUGACCCAGGUAGCAGGCAGGGCCUCCAAGGCUGCCGCCAGGGGUGAGGACGGCACGCUGGACACGCUGCAGGAAAAAAUGCACGUCUGUGUGAGCCUGCUCGCCAGAGGGAGCAGCCAAUGUAGCAGAAAGGUGGCCUCUGGCUCCCUCCCACCUUCCAAAUCCCAUGUGAGGGUCUGUGGUUGGAUCAGGCACCCGCCACUCUCGAAGGGCUGAGAAACGCAGCAUUCUGCCUCCAAAGGACAGGAAAUAGGUGGGAACGGAUCCCGAGUGCUACUCAGCCCCGUGAGGAUUACCUGUAUCUGUGCCUGGAGGGCACUCAGUCCUGGCACCCAGCACGUGUGCAUGCACGUGGGCUCUGGGGAACGUCACAGUGGUCAUCGCUACGUGCCUGCCAUGUGCCAGUGCCAGGCUAGGCCCUGGGAGACACAACAGUGAACAAGAAAGGGCCCUCCCCUGAAGAAGUGCUGAGACGCCAGGGGGAGCAUGAACUGGAAUCAUAAAGGAGAGUGGUCAGUGCAAAAGUGAGUCAUAAGAGCACAGAGAGGGGCCCCCAGGCCAGUCUUGGGUGGGGAAGGUCGGAGAAAACAUACUUGGUAGGGUGGGGACAACUUGUAACUCUGGGCACUCAGGCUGAGGUGGUGCCCACCCAUGGGCUCCCUGCCCCUGGACAGAGUUCUUAGAAAGCCCCUCCCUCCCAUCAACUUUACAGCCUACAUGUAGUUCAAUUCUCCACUAUUUACAAGCAUUUACAAUGUACCAGAAACCAGGGACACUUCUCCCAGUCACUCCUAAGGGGGAAACUUUUUGCUGGACAGCUGCAGAAGCUCUACAGCUGGGACAGAGGAGGGGAGAAGGGGGGAUAGGAAAAGCCGCUGACAAUUUCUCUGUCACCGCCCACCCCCUCCCCCGAGCAAGCCUCAUCAUGCACAGGUUAGAGAGUCUCCCCAGGUACCUGGCCCCCAACUCCCACUUGGCUGCCACACCCAACACACACACAAACCACACUGCAUAAUCACAAGACAAAACUCCCCGGGCAGGCAGCCCUGACAUACAUAUGCAUGAAUUCCCCAGGACCUGAAAGCCAGCUGUGUUUCCAGUUGCCAGAGGGACCUGACACAGACCUCUUCAAGGCUUGGACACACGAGAAACUUGGAGAUAGGGGCCAGUCUGCAAGCAGUCAGGACCCCUCCUUCCUGCUGGCCCAGCAGAAGGCCCCUCCGGGUCUUCCUCUGUUCCUGCCACCCCGCCCCCAGCUGGAUGUGGCAGUGUGGGGCGCCCUCAUGCGGGCCACAGCAGCCCUGCAGCCUCACCGACAGCAUCCUAGGCUGCCCUCCUCCCCCUGCACCCACGCCUCCCCUCCUCCCAGAGCCCUGGGUCGUCCUGUCCCACGGGGGUCACCACUGUGCCACAGCCCAUGCUUCUACUCCAACUGGCCUGCCUCCAACCCAGAUUGCCUUCUUUUACCUCUGAAUAUUUUCUCAUUUAUAUUUUAAAAUUCAAUAUUCAAAGAGUAUGUAUUAUUUAUCUGACCCUGUGUAACUACUCCCGAAGUGUAGCAGCUUAUGAUAGCAAACAUUUAUUAUUUCCCAGUUUCCGAGGGUCAGGAGUCCAGGAGCAGCUUAGCUGGGUGGCUGUGGCUCAGCAUCGCUCACGCAGUUGCCAUCAGGUUGCUGGCUAAGACUGCAGUCAUCUGAAGGCUGGGCUGGAUCCACUUCCAAGCUCACUGCACAGAGCUGUCGCCCACAGCAGCCCUCAGUUCCUUGCCAGUGGGGCCUCCCCAUCAGGCUGCUAGGGACGUGGCAGCUGGCUUUCCCAAGGGCAAAUGCUCCCAGAGAAAGAGAGCAAGAGAAACCAAAACAGAAGCCGCAGUGUCUGUUAAAAACUAAUCUCAGACGUAACAUACCGUCAUGCCUGCCAUACUCUAUUGAUAACACAGGCCAACCUGGCACAACGUGGGAGGGGACAUGAAUUCCAGGAGGCAGGGAUCCUGGGGUCCUCCAUGGAGGCUAGCUUCCACAAAAUAUAUUUUUAGAAAUAUUAGCUAUCAAACAAAUUACGAUCAGCACCCAUGAACCCACCACUCACACAAGAACUAGAACAUCAUCUGUUCCCUUUCAUCCACCCUCUGCCUGCCUGUGUAAAAGGUAAUCACCAGCUUGAAUUUCAUGUUUGUCAUUCUUUUGCAUUUUAAACAGUUUUGCCAUGUAGGUGCAUACUCCUAAAUGACCUGUUUAGUUUGCCUUUUUGAUCUUUAUAGAAAUGAUAGGUCGUUGGUAGUCAGGGGGUGCUCCCUCCUCCAAGCUCCUACGCAACUUGUCUUCUCCCUCCCGUUCCCCGCUCUGGGGCGGGGCCAGCUGCUUUCUUCUUAUUUCUGGGUUACUUCAGCAUUCUUUAUUUAUCCACUCUCCUGUGGACGGACAUUGCACUCCUUUGCCAUCUGGAUAAUGAUGCUAAGUCCCUGUGGUACAUCUCUCCUGGGACACGUGUGAGUUUCUCCACAUUGAUACCCAAGCACGGGACACUGGGCCCUAGGAUAUGCAAACAUUCCAUUCUACAAGAGAAUGUCAAAUUGUUUCCCGAAGUGGUUUACACUCUACAUUCUCACCUGCAACUUAUACAAAAUCCUGUCGAUCCACAUCUUCUCCCUGAGGUGUGCGUGGUGGGGAGGUGGUCCAAGGGGCCUGGGAGAGGAGGGGGGCUGAGAGGCCCGGAGGCUGACAGUGGGAGGACCCUGGCCCAACUCAGCCAGAGGAGCUUGCAGGACCCCAGGAAGCAUUUGGCUGGCCCUUCCUGAGGAGGGCUCACUUAGAGGGGUACACCUUUUUACCUGGCUGCUUCUAUUGGUCUAGGGAAAACCAUUUAUGCCCUCCUCCUUGUAAGGAUUGCAUGUUAUAAGGGCUUGAUAAGAGUCCCAACGAAGAGUCCCAUUGUACACAGCAGACACUCAUUACAGCAUCUUUCCUUUCUUCCCCGCCCCCACUGAAACUACUUCUUUGGGAAAGUGGAAGUAAGUAAAAGAAACAAACUCCUGAGCAAAUCACAGUGCUCUCAUCGCCAUCAUCAUUAACAGAGCAUUAAUUAAUUGCUUACCCAAGGAAAGGAAAAUUUAAUUACCUACCACGGAAAUUUUCAAAAGAAAAAAGGAAACAUGAGUUUAAAUUUUAAUUAGGGCCCCUGCAUGGUGGGAAUGGGAAUGAGCUGGUUUCUCUUAGAUCUAAUUGUUGAAAAUUAAAGUGAGGGGUGUAGUGAUUAAGUUCACGCACUCUGCUUUGGCUGCCUGGGGUUGGCAGGUUUGGAUCCUGUGCAAGGACCUACACACCUGGGCAAGGACGCUCAUCAAGCCAUGCUGUGGUAGCAUCCCACACAUGAAAUAGAGGAAGACUGGCACAGACAUUAGCUCAAGGCCAAUCUUCCUCACCAAAAUAAAAAGAAAAGAAAAUUAAAGUGAGGGCCUCUGAUCCCUGGGCAGUCUCCUGCUCCCACUACCUCCCUCCCAUGCCUCCAGCUAGACCUCUUCUCAGAGGAGACAUGGAGGGGGCAGACCACUCCCUCCAGGACUCUGGCCAUCGCCCCUCAGGGAGCUGCUUCAGUGCAGGGUUUCAGAAGCAUAGGACAGGUCCCGCUGCCUCAAAUCCACCUUUCUUGCCUGGCUCACAGCUGCUCCCUAUUCACAGGAAUAGCCGUAGACGCCGUGAUGUGCUGCAGCCCAGACCUCUCUCCAGGACAGGCUCCCCAGCCUCUGGGAUUGCUGCCCGCAGACAGCCUCAGCUGCCAGCCCCUUCCAGAUUGCCCUAGGUCACACCGCCUUCCCAGGCCUGCCCGCAGCCAGUGGGUAUAAAGGCCCAGCAUUCUUGCCUGGAUUUGGGUCAACUCUGAAGGUCAUUUUGGCUCCUGUGCUCCAGGCAGCAUUGCAGGGCUUUUGUUUAGACUUCAGCGCAGCUCACCUUCUCCCUCCGGCUAGUCCUGCUGCUGUGUCCUCUCUUCCACAGGUGAAAAUCCCAAGAAAACUCCCUAACAAAUGUCCUGCAGGCUUAGCUCCAUCUCAGAGUCUGCUUUUUGAGCGUCCCAACUUGUGACAGAGAUUUCAAUUCAGCAUUGUUAAAAAUUUACAUUUUACAGAGACAUCAAAUUAAGGGAAGCUCAGAAAGCAUCCAGCCCAGCCUCCUCCCAAUACAGCAAUACCUUUAGGAUCUGACCCAGCUAAUGGGGCCACGGCUUGAACGCUGACCAUGACAAGGCCUCGUCAUCUCAAGAGCAGCCAUUUCAGUGCCUGGACAGCUCAGACUGCUAGAAGGCUCUUCUCAUGCUGGUCAGCUCCUGCCAGACAGAGCCACAGAGCAAGGGUCUAUGUGGGUGCCAGGACUGUGCCAGGCUGGGAGGAACACAGGAUGGUGGAGACCCUGUCCCAGCCCUCAGGACAGACCAGGUCCAGAGCAAGGAUGGCGGCAGGGUCCUGGCUCCCAGCCCCGGUGGCAGCCCUGAGGAUGCACACUCGACCCACAUUCGAAGUUCCCCUGGAAGAUGGAGCACAGACACCCAGUGGGACAGUCCCUGAUGGCCUGGACACUCCACCUCUGCAAGCAGCCUGGUCACCAGCUGGCUCAUGCCUGAUAUUUCUAGGUGCUUUUGAUAAGCCCAGUGCCCACAUGGGGCUCCUCUGAGGGCCUCCCCAGCCUGAGCCUGCGCCUCCCUUUCAGCAGCCUAGGUCGCCAAGCUGGGGACCAAUUAAGCUGAGGUUGUGUCACCCCCUGUGUGGUAGGAAAGGCCACUGGUCUGCUAAAGAAUUAGCCAGCGCCCAGGGACUCCCUGGGUGAGCCCCCUUUGUCCAGGCCUGCUCUAGGUCCCUGUUGUUGCUCUGGCCCUGGGUGCAGCUAGAUGGCGUUGUCCCAUCAUGCCUUGCACCUGCCCUGGCCUGAGCAGCGGGCUCACCUGGCAUCCACUCAUGUGACCCCAUGGACGCAGAGGAGUCUGCACACAGUUCCUGGACCCCAGCCCUAGGCCUUUACUGAGGCCAUAGUCACAGGCCAUUGGAGACACUGCCCACCCCUUCCUCAGGGCUCAGAGCAACACAUUGAUUCAACAAGUAUUUACUAAAGUCCUACUAUGUGCAGGACUUUAUGCCAGGUGCAGGCGAUGCAGCACAGCAGACACUUCCCUGUCCUGCCUGGAGGAGACAGAGUAAUAUGGGAGACAGAAAUAGACAUAAAUUCACACACCUGGGGAGCGCCCCAAAGCACCAGGAUAACAUACAGGUGUGUGCAGGGAGGACGUUGGACAGGCCUCUGCCGUGCUCUGAGAGAUAGCAGCUCUGCAGUGAGGUUGGAAGGAAGGGUCAGGGUUCACCAGGCAGAGGAGACAGGGAGGAAUGGGCUCCUGGAAGCUUGGGAAGCAGGGAGGAGUCCUCCUUGAGGUCCCAGGGCUGCAGGUCCCACUUCCCUCCACACCUGGCACAGGGCUGGGCGGUGGUGAGGGACAGCCCAGCUGUCUGGAGGAUGGAGCCCUGAGAGAGGAAUCCAGUCCCGGAUGCCAGGCUGAGCUGCGCCAGAACCUGCAUGUCUCGGCUGCCUUAUGGGUCAGAUGGAGUUUCAGACUCCAGCUUCUUCUGCAGCCCUGAGAGGUGGGCGCCACCCUCUGGACUCUCAAGUGAGCACAUGGAGGCCCGGGGCCGCCCCUCGCAGGAGACCAGAGGCAGGAGCUGAAAACAGAGCCCAGCACACCUCUCCUGGUCUCUCAGCUGAGUCACGCUCUGGGAUCCCCAGAGGUUUCAGCAACUUCACAGGGAUGACGGAGAACGGAGAGUCAAAUGAUGGUCAUGGGAAACGUGCCAUGAUGUCACAUGGCAGUCAUGGGAAAGGACAUGCCUGGCAAUGGCGUUGGCCUUGUUUUCUUCUGGGAUGGGGUCACUGGGCUGUGCUGGGACUGAGAGGAUCUGGAUCUGAGCCCCCAGCUGUGACAAAGCCCUGUGAGCCUGGGCAAGGGGGAGGCUGCAUUCGCUGGGAAGAAACUCCUUUGAUUCCAGUGUGGAAAGAGAGAGAAGCGUGCAGAUUUAAAUUGCAUCAGGAGAGACUCAAGCCAGACACGUGGAAGAACAUCCAGGCUGAGGGUGCUGAGAAGGAAAGGGCAUGGAGGCAUCUGCCGAUGUCACAGUGUCAUCUCCAGCUCUAAGGCAGGAAAGGCUUGGAGGACUCAGGGUGGGCACCAGAGGCGGCAGACAUGCUCAGUGAUGCUGACUGAAGUUGGCCAUGACGUUUAGUGGGGAGAGCAUGGAUUGGGCCACAGGCAGGAAACAGACCCUGAGGGGCCAGGAGGGUUGGGAGCUGCCCAGAAGAGCAAAGUGAGUGCUGGCUGUGGGGAGGGUGGAGGGGUGGAGGGAUGCCUGCGAGCCAGAAAGCAGCUUUCUGCAGGCUGGGCCCAGACACAAGGUGUGGAGUGGAGGGGUGGGCAGGACUGUUGGCUGGGUGGCUGCAGGACCCACAAACAAAUGUGAGUGAAUGAGAUACAAAGAAGCAGGCAAGUCCCCUGAGCCGCACACAGCAGAGCGCUUCACCCUCUGGCUCCCAGCGCCACAGGACUUUCCCUCUCCUGACACCCCACCAUCUCCUGAACCCCACAAUGGUUCUCCCACUCUCUCCCGGGGCUGUUCCUCUGGGGCAUCUACAACCAGAGGCCUCCAGAUAGUCCACACAAAAGUUUCUCCAGGUCUGAUGAAGAGGACCCAAGUGUUAACCCUCCAGGCCUCAAUUCCCUGGGCAGGGGCGGGGGUGGGGCAAGCCAGAGCUGCAGUUAGGAAGCUGCCAUCUGUCUAUACUGGGCGAGCUGUGCAUCAGCCUGAGAGCAGGGGAAGGGACAAAAUGACCUCCUGGGGAGACUUCUAGCCCAGGGACUGCCAUGGUAGCUGGAUAAAGAACAUUAAAUAUUCAGCAAAUGCUCAGCAGGGAUAGAUGGAAGGGCCCAGAGCAAGGACCAAGUCCAGGGUGGGGCUGAGAGUUGGGCCUGUUCCCGAAUUAGGACCCAGGCAGGGUUGAUUAGCAAGAGCCACAGCCAAGGGGAAAAUCUACACAGAGGUGGACCUUCUCCAUGGUGUUCUGGACUCUGAACGCUGGAGAGGGUGGAGGGACGGUAAGGAGAUGGUCUCCCGAGCCGAGGCCCAGGCCUAUGUAAAGCCUUAAUAUUUGCAAAGGUCUGGGGUUGGGACAGGGAUAAAGGAGGGCUGAAUAAUUCAGAAAGCAAGUGCAGAAGUGGCUGUUGCUGAUGUUGACUGAGCUUUGUGCCUGGCUGGACUCCAAGCAGCACGCUUGGCCUCCCGGCUGGUGAUGCUGGGGGCCAGAGAGGGAGCGAGCACAAUCAGCCCUCAGUGCAGCUUGCUGGGCUUUGUUUCUCAAGGCUCUUUCACAGGCCUCUUCUCUCACCUCACCCCUCUUCCCCAGCACCCUGUGAGGUGAGCAGGGCAGGUAAUGAUACUCAGGGAGGCUGAAUAACCUGGCCGUGCUCAUGUGCCUGGUACAUGAGGCUGGAACCCAGGAGCUCGUGAGUCUCCUCUCCCCAUCCCCACCUCCCAGGCAGGAACCCUCACCUCUGCGUGGCGGUCUCACUUUUCAUACCAGUUUCUCUUCUCUCUUACGCUUUCUGGUCCUCAUGAUAAUCCUGCGAGGUGCAUCAGGGAUCACUGGUCCUGGAGCAACCAAGCAAGACCUGGGUUCUGAGCAUGGCUUUGGCACAGCUAAGCUCUGCCAUCCUGGGCAAGUUCCAUCCCCACUCUCGGCCUCCAUAGCUGCAUCUUCUCCUCUGUAGGAUAAAGUCAUAUGCAUCGAUACUCCUGGGGUCCCUUCUACCUCCGACAUUCUCUGGUUCUAAGCACCAUAUAACAGAUAAGAAAAUAGAGGCUCAGCUUGUGGGUGGCACACAUGGGAGAAAGACCUCUUCCAGUUGCCCCAUGGGGACCUGCCUCCUGCCUGCACCCUUCCCUCAGCUCAACCCAGGAGCAGGAGAGGGAAGCACUUCCUGCCUUCUCUGCAUCCCAGAGACUCAUUUAAAGGAGAAUCCAGUUUUUUGACUCCUUUUCUUGUCUGGACCCAGAAGCAGGAAGCUUAUCAGUGUUUAAUGAAGCCAGGACCAAUCUAAUUAUCAAAGGCACUUGUGUUAAUAAGCCCCUUUCAAUCUGUGCAGGGAGCUAACACUCAGAAUAAAAGGGAAAGAAAAGCCAUUAUCGUGAAAUGUCUGGGCUCCUACCUGGGCUGAGCCCUAUGAAGUCAUUAUGGGUAAUUAUGGGCUGUCAGCCCAGCACAGCACGCAGUCUACAGUCUCCGUUAGGUAGAGGUAAUGAAGAGGAGCAUGUGGCCCCUGCGAGGCAGACAAGUUGAGGUCAUAAAAAAGGGCAACUUUCCAUUUUUAGUUCCCUUCCAUCUGGCUCCUUAGGAGUGUCCCCACCCCACUUCUCCACUUCAUACUUCUAGUUUCACUCCCAACAGAUUUGGCAUCCCAAGUUUCCUUUUGCUCAGGAGAAAAGUCAGUGUGCUCUGAGAUUCUGUACCUGAGUGCUCUAGAAGCUUUACUUGAAGAGCUUUCCUAAUUUCCCACCUGACUCACGCUGAGCUGACGGUUGCUCGGACUAGGGUGAAGCAGUGAAGAUGGUGAAAAGUAGUCAGGCUAGACUUGCUGAUGGAUUGGAUGGACAAGGGGAGUGAUGAGGGGAAAAGAAGAGUCUGAGAUGACCAGGGAUUUUUGGCCCGAACAGCUGGACAGAUCGUGGUAGCGUUUAUUGAGAUGAAGAUGAAAGGAGAAGUUUAUUUGAAAGAGGAGAAACAAGACUUUAUGUUUGGCCAUGUUAAAUUGAAGAUGCCUAUUAUAGACCCAAAUGUCUAACAUUUCAAAUAUGAAGCAUAGGGAAGGGUCACUACUACAGAUACAGAGCUGAGAGUCAUCAGGAUAUGUGGCACAUAAAUCCAUAAACUGGCUGAAAUCCGUUAGGCGGAGUGUGUACAUCGGGAAGUGAUGGACACACAGGACUGGCCCCUGGCCCUGAGACACCCAACGUUUGGAAGUUGAGAGGAGGAGGAGCAAUUGCAAAUUGGACCUGACUGCUGCUACUGGAAUGAACUGCCUCUGCUGGUGUGAAGAAACAAGGAUAGAUGGUGAUGACAGGAACAGGAAGCAAAGAGGAAAAUUGUAUCCUUUCUUCCUCCUCCCGCCUUCUGUCUACCUCCGGCAACCCCUACAGGCAAAACCUAACAGGGCGCUAAAUAGGCGAGCCAAAACGUGGUUUUCAAAGUUCUUGCCCCAGCAGCACAAAGUAGAGUAAUGAAGGAUACGUUUGAAGCUGAGAGAUCAUAGCUGAAUAACUGCACACACAUCAAGGUGCUUGCCUACUGCCUAAGGCCAGUCUGAGUAGGGUUUUCUCCUAUACAGUCAAGCGCCACAUAACAAUAUUUUGGUCAAUGAUGGACUGCAUAUACGACAGAGGUCUCAUAAGAUCAAUACCACAUAGCCUAAGUGUGUCGGAGGCUAUACCACCUAGUUUUGUCAUUAUUCACAAUACCUGAGACUUGAAAACAGCCAAAGAGCCCACUGAUGGAUGAACGGAUAAAGAAGAUGUGGUAUAUAUACACAAUGGAAUACAACUCAGCCACAAAAAGAGAAAUCUUGCCAUUUGUGACAACAUGGAUGGACCUUGAGGUUAUUAUGCUAAGUGAGAUAAGUCAGACAGAGAAAGUCAAAUACAGUAUGAUUUCACUCAUAUACGGAAGAUAAAACAACAACAAACACGUAGGUACAGAGAAUGGAUUGGUGAUUGCCAGGGAGGUAGCAGGUAGGGGGGAGUGUGAAAGGGGUAAAGGGACACAUGUUCAUGGUGACGGAUGGAAACUAGACUUCUGAUAAUGAACACGAUGUCGUCUGCACAUAAGUCAAAAUAUAAUGAUGUACACCUGAAAUUUAUAUGAUGUUAUAAACCAAUGUUACCCCAAUAAAAAAAUUAAAAUUUUGAAUUAUUAGC